rfam:Ixodes scapularis strain Wikel colony gcontig_1108379620474, whole genome shotgun sequence.
UCCUGGUUAGCUCAGUUGGUAGAGCGCUCCACUAGAAAUAGAGAGGUCCCUGGUUCUAUAUUAGGUCCAGGCG